CAGUCGCCACGGUAAUACGAAGGGGGCUAGCGUUGUUCGGAAUUACUGGGCGUAAAGCGCACGUAGGCGGAUCGAUCAGUCAGGGGUGAAAUCCCAGGGCUCAACCCUGGAACUGCCUUUGAUACUGGAAGUCUUGAGUAUGGUAGAGGUGAGUGGAAUUCCGAGUGUAGAGGUGAAAUUCGUAGAUAUUCGGAGGAACACCGGUGGCGAAGGCGGCUCACUGGACCAUUACUGACGCUGAGGUGCGAAAGCGUGGGGAGCAAACAGGAUUAGAUACCCCAGUAGUCCCUGUCUCUUAUAC
rnacentral:rRNA from 1 species